UACGUAGGGGGCUAGCGUUGUCCGGAUUUAUUGGGCGUAAAGAGCUCGUAGGCGGCUUGUUGCGUCGGCUGUGAAAACCCGGGGCUCAACUCCGGGCUUGCAGUCGAUACGGGCGGGCUAGAGUUCGGUAGGGGAGACUGGAAUUCCCGGUGUAGCGGUGAAAUGCGCAGAUAUCAGGAGGAACACCGGUGGCGAAGGCGGGUCUCUGGGCCGAUACUGACGCUGAGGAGCGAAAGCGUGGGGAGCGAACAGG
rnacentral:rRNA from 1 species